UUGGAGGGCAAGUCUGGUGCCAGCAGCCGCGGUAAUUCCAGCUCCAAUAGCGUAUAUUAAAGUUGUUGCAGUUAAAAAGCUCGUAGUUGAAUUUCGGGGUCAGUAGGCUGGUCGUGCCACAGGUACGCACUGGUCUCACUGAUUCCUCCUUCCUGAUGAACCGUAAUGCCAUUAAUUUGGUGUUGCGGGGAGACUGGACUGUUACUUUGAAGAAAUUAGAGUGUUUAAAGCAGGCUAACGCUUGAAUACAUUAGCAUGGAAUAAUGAAAUAGGACGUUCGGUCUUAUUUUGUUGGUUUCUAAGAUUGACGUAAUGAUUAAUAGGGAUAGUUGGGGGCAUUAGUAUUCAAUUGUCAGAGGUGAAAUUCUUGGAUUUAUUGAAGACUAACUACUGCGAAAGCAUUUGCCAAGGAUGUUUUCAUUAAUCAAGAACGAAAGUUAGGGGAUCGAAGACGAUCAGAUACCGUCGUAGUCUUAACCAUAAACUAUGCCGACUAGGGAUCGGAUGAUGUUAAUUUUUUAAUGACUCAUUCGGCGCCUUACGGGAAACCAAAGUGUUUGGGUUC
rnacentral:rRNA from 1 species